rnacentral:rRNA from 1 species
UACGUAGGUGGCAAGCGUUGUCCGGAAUUAUUGGGCGUAAAGCGCGCGCAGGCGGUCCUUUAAGUCUGAUGUGAAAGCCCACGGCUCAACCGUGGAGGGUCAUUGGAAACUGGGGGACUUGAGUGCAGGAGAGAAGAGUGGAAUUCCACGUGUAGCGGUGAAAUGCGUAGAGAUGUGGAAGAACACCCGUGGCGAAGGCGGCUCUCUGGGACGGUACUGACGCUGAGACGCGAAAGCGUGGGGAGCGAACAGG